rnacentral:lncRNA from 10 species
AUGAAGCUGAAUAUUUUCUUCCCAGCCACUGGCUGCCAGAAACUCACUGACAUGGAUAGUGAACAUAAAUGUUGUACUUUUUAUGAUUAACAUAAAGCCAUAGAAGUUGCUGCUGUUACUCUGGGUGAAAAACGGAAGGGUUAUGUGGUCUGAAUCAGUAAUGAGAAUGACAAGUGAGGUUUCCACAUGAAACACUGUGCCUUGACCUAUGGCCAUCUUCAUCUGCUAUUGAGUAAGGAACAUUUUUGUUAUAGAUUCCGAAGAAUUGGCUAAAGAAAGUAAAAAUCUGUUUGGAGUUGAAUUGUUGGUGCUAAUCUGAGUGUUCUCAAUUUGGUUAUUGUAAAAAAAGGAAGAGAAAUAUAUUCCUGUACUGAAUAAUACUACAAUACCUCAUCAGCUGGGGUCCAAAAGACCUAGCAGAAUCUGUAAACUUUUUUCAUCUUUCCAAAGAAGAGGAUGUCUGCCAAUAUGUUGUGGGAAAGACCUUGAGCAAAGAAGGUAAGAUACCUAAGACCAAAGCGUCCAAGAUUCCACAUUAUGUUACGCCACAUGUCCUGUAACACAAACACCAGAUUGCACUGGAGAAAUAGCUUACAAAGAAAAAUAAGGAAAAAGUCACAGAUUAUAGUAAAUUUUUGGCAAAGAGAAUGAAGGAGGCCAAAGAGAAUGAAGGAGACCAAAGAAAAAUGCCAUUACCAAUUGCGAAAAGACACAGGCUGACCUCUUUAACAGCUUCUACUUGUAAGUCUGAGUCCAACACAAAAAUAA